rnacentral:rRNA from 1 species
AUACGGAGGAUCCGAGCGUUAUCCGGAUUUAUUGGGCUUAAAGGGCGCGCAGGCGGCCAUUUAAGUCAGCGGUUAAAUCGUGGGGCUCAACCCCAUUCUGCCGUUGAUACUGGGUGGCUUGAUUGCGGUCGAGGUUGGCGGAAUUCGUUGUGGAGCGGUGAAAUGCAGAGAUAUGACGAAGAACACCGAUUGCGUAGGCAGCUGACCAGACCGCAAAUGACGCUCAUGCACGAAAGUGCGGGGAUCGAACAGGAUUAGAUACCCUGGUAGUCCGCACAGUAAACGAUGAAUACUUGUUUUCGGCGAUAUAAUGUCGGAGGCAAAGCGAAAGCGAUAAGUAUUCCACCUGGGGAGUACGCCGGCAACGGUGAAACUUAAAGGAAUUGACGGGG